AAUAUCUUGAUGUGGCAUGGAAGGACUCAGGACACUGCAUGGGUCCUAAGCCACUCCCUGCUUCAUUUGUAAUUGCUUGUUUUAUUGAAAUUAUUAGCAAAGUGUGAUACUGGAAGAAUUUAUUUGAAUCUCUCUUUUCCUUGGCUAAGAAGAAUGAAGAGGCAGGAGACUUGGGGGACCCCUUAACUGGGGAUAAUUACUGGGACAAAUCAGCCAGCACAAAGAGGAGGCACUAAACAAUCAGUCCUGGUCUCUGUUAUCAGAGACUUUUGAUGCUACCAUUGGAGUCAGACAAGCAGACAAACAUCAACAAAAUGAUUAUAAACUAUGACACACUAUGAUGGGAAAGAAGGAGGCUGACAGAGAGGACAUUGGCAGGAAGGAGCCCUACUGUAGAUGUGGUGGUCAGAGAAGGGCCUUUGUGAGAAGCUGACACAUAAUCUCACAGUUGAAGUUGUGAGAAGGAGCUGGUCCUCCAGAGAGAAGUAGGAAGAGCGCUCCAGCAGAAUCUCUGGACAAGUGCAGCUACGACUGCUGCUGGGACCGCGAUACUGUGAUGAGACUUUGCAUAUUUAAAAGGAUGUCGAGAGAGGAGGAGGAAUGAUAAAUGAACUCAGGAAGAUGUGAUGUCUUCUGUGAUGACACUAAUAGAUGGAAUGCAGAAUUCAGCUCCAAUACUUAGGGUUGGAAACCAAACAUAAACAAGCAAGCAAGGAAAAUGAAAAGGAAUGUGUGUGUGUGUGUGUGUGUGUGUGUGUGUGUGUGUGUGUAGGUGUGAGAGUAUAUGAAAUACAUGAAAAGAUAAAAAGUUAGAUGCUGCUAAAGGGACAGACAUGUAGGAAUUUUACAUUAGGGUUGUUCUGAUUUUCAUUUUCUUGCCUUUUAAAAUUUAAUGAUAAACAAGUCUCCAGAGAUUUUUACAGCCUGGGAGACCACUGGUAAGACAACAAUAUAGGUGGUCCUCCAGCAGGAUCUAAAUCAGAGCCUUCAUAGUGGACUGUCGGGCCAGGUGCAGCUGUAGACAAUGCAUCUUCAGGAGUGGGGUGAAGAAAUUUAAUGGACUAGUAAUGCAACAGGAGGUAGAAGAAAAGUGUUCUCUCACUAAAGCAUGGUGGGUGUUUUCAAAAUGUUUAAAAAACAUUUUUAGGCCGGGCACAGUGGCUCACACCUGUAAUCUCAGAGCUUGGGGUGGCUGAGGACCCAAAAGGAGGAUCCCUUGAUGCCAGGAGUUGUAGACCAGCCUGGUCUAACAUAGCAAUACCCUGUCUCUAAAAAAAAAAAAAAAAAAAAAAAUUAAUUAGCCAGGCAGGUGACAAGUGCCUGUAGUCCCAGUUACUCAGGAGGAUAAGGCAGGAGGAUCGCUUGAACCCAAGAAUUUGAGGUUGUGGUAAGCUGUGAUCGUGCCAUUGCACUCCAGCCUGGGUGACAGAGUAAGACCUCAAUUCUUUUUUUUUUUUUUUUUUUUUUUUUG
rnacentral:lncRNA from 1 species